rnacentral:tRNA from 3 species
UGGGGUAUCGCCAAGCGGUAAGGCACCACACUUUGACUGUGGCAUCCGUAGGUUCAAAUCCUGCUAUCCCAGCCA